UGGGGAAUAUUGCACAAUGGGCGCAAGCCUGAUGCAGCCAUGCCGCGUGUAUGAAGAAGGCCUUCGGGUUGUAAAGCACUUUCAGCGGGGAGGAAGGCGAUAAGGUUAAUAACCUUGUCGACUGACGUUACCCGCAGAAGAAGCACCGGCUAACUCCGUGCCAGCAGCCGCGGUAAUACGGAGGGUGCAAGCGUUAAUCGGAAUUACUGGGCGUAAAGCGCACGCAGGCGGUCUGUCAAGUCGGAUGUGAAAUCCCCGGGCUCAACCUGGGAACUGCAUUCGAAACUGGCAGGCUAGAGUCUUGUAGAGGGGGGUAGAAUUCCAGGUGUAGCGGUGAAAUGCGUAGAGAUCUGGAGGAAUACCGGUGGCGAAGGCGGCCCCCUGGACAAAGACUGACGCUCAGGUGCGAAAGCGUGGGGAGCAAACAGG
rnacentral:rRNA from 1 species